rnacentral:rRNA from 1 species
GUGCCAGCAGCCGCGGUAAUACGGAGGGUGCAAGCGUUAAUCGGAAUUACUGGGCGUAAAGCGCGCGUAGGUGGCUUGAUAAGCCGGUUGUGAAAGCCCCGGGCUCAACCUGGGAACGGCAUCCGGAACUGUCAGGCUAGAGUGCAGGAGAGGAAGGUAGAAUUCCCGGUGUAGCGGUGAAAUGCGUAGAGAUCGGGAGGAAUACCAGUGGCGAAGGCGGCCUUCUGGACUGACACUGACACUGAGGUGCGAAAGCGUGGGUAGCAAACAGGAUUAGAUACCCUGGUAGUCCACGCCGUAAACGAUGUCGACCAGCCGUUGGGUGCCUAGAGCACUUUGUGGCGAAGUUAACGCGAUAAGUCGACCGCCUGGGGGAGUACGGCCGCAAGGUUAAAACUCAAAUGAAUUGACGG